CUAGCAAUGAGCUCCACGGUGGUGGAUCUACCACGACCAGGCUCCAUGGCGGCAGAUUUGCCUUCACUUGGCUCCACGGCGGUGCAUCUGCCUCCACCGGGCUCCAUGAUGGCCAAUCUGCCAGUAGCAAGCUCCACGGCGAUUGAUCUGCCUCCAGUAGGCGGCACAAACCCUAGAUCUGACGGCGGUAGCGCAAAGCCGGUGUGCUCACCAGUGGGCUCCAAAACUGGGCUCCACGACGGCUUUUUUAUUUUUUAAUCUAUUAAUGGAGGUGGGCAAGCCAACCGUCUCCGCUCACUACACCACAACACCAAGAUUAGCGAUGGACAAUCUGACGCUAAAACCUGCCACAGUGACAGACGAUCUGACGCUAAAAAGUUACAGCGACAGACUUCCACAGACGCUGUAAGUCCUAUCGCUAAAAAUCUUCAGCGACAGAUAGUAUCUUUAGCGACAGAUAGUCUCUUGCAAUUGAUAUUUACAGCGACAGAUAAUCUGUUACUACUCUUUUGCGAC
rnacentral:lncRNA from 1 species